rnacentral:rRNA from 1 species
GAGCGAACGCUGGCGGCAGGCUUAACACAUGCAAGUCGAGCGGGCACUUCGGUGUCAGCGGCAGACGGGUGAGUAACACGUGGGAACGUACCCUUCGGUUCGGAAUAACGCUGGGAAACUAGCGCUAAUACCGGAUACGCCCUUUUGGGGAAAGGUUUACUGCCGAAGGAUCGGCCCGCGUCUGAUUAGCUAGUUGGUGGGGUAAUGGCCUACCAAGGCGACGAUCAGUAGCUGGUCUGAGAGGAUGAUCAGCCACACUGGGACUGAGACACGGCCCAGACUCCUACGGGAGGCAGCAGUGGGGAAUAUUGGAAAAUGGGCGCAAGCCUGAUCCAGCCAUGCCGCGUGAGUGAUGAAGGCCUUAGGGUUGUAAAGCUCUUUUGUCCGGGACGAUAAUGACGGUACCGGAAGAAUAAGCCCCGGCUAACUUCGUG